GGGGUUGUGGCUCAGAGGUAGAGCACUUGCCUAGUAUGCGUGAAGCACUGGGUUCAAUCCUCAGCACCA
rnacentral:tRNA from 1 species